rnacentral:rRNA from 1 species
GUAGGUGGCAAGCGUUGUCCGGAAUUAUUGGGCGUAAAGCGCGCGCAGGCGGUUUCUUUAAGUCUGAUGUGAAAGCCCACGGCUCAACCGUGGAGGGUCAUUGGAAACUGGAGAACUUGAGUACAGAAGAGGAAAGCGGAAUUCCACGUGUAGCGGUGAAAUGCGUAGAGAUGUGGAGGAACACCAGUGGCGAAGGCGGCUUUCUGGUCUGUAACUGACGCUGAGGCGCGAAAGCGUGGGGGAGCAAACAGGAUUAGAUACCCUGGUAGUCCACGCCGUAAACGAUGAGUGCUAAGUGUUAGGGGGUUUUCGCCCCCUUAGUGCUGCAGCUAACGCAUUAAGCACUCCGCCCUGGGGAGUACGGCCGCAAGGCUGA